UACGGAGGAGCUAGCGUUGUUCGGAAUUACUGGGCGUAAAGCGCACGUAGGCGGCUUUUUAAGUCAGGGUGAAAUCCCGGGGCUCAACCCCGGAACUGCCCUUGAAACUGGAGAGCUAGAAUCUUGGAGAGGCGAGUGGAAUUCCGAGUGUAGAGGUGAAAUUCGUAGAUAUUCGGAAGAACACCAGUGGCGAAGGCGACUCGCUGGACAAGUAUUGACGCUGAGGUGCGAAAGCGUGGGGAGCAA
rnacentral:rRNA from 1 species